AGUUAAUAUUAGAAAUGAUUCUCCAAGAUGGAGUUGGGUCCGACAACUCAUCCAAGCUGCGUCCCUGAUCAACAUUGGGCUCGAGAGGUGAAAUGGCGUCGUUAAGAAUCAAACAAAAGCAAGAUACUCCUACAUGUCCCCGUGUCAAACAGUGUCAUGAGUAGCUGAUCCAAUCAUUGGCUCCCAUACCAGCAGAACCGAUUUUGAGUUGAUUUUUUUUUAAUCCAUCCCAUGCUCCUUCCUUAAAUUCGAUGAAGACAGUACAGAGGUCAAUCAAUCUCUCCACCUAGUUUGAUAAAAUCCAUAGUGAGCAACUUUAAGAUGUUGGCAUUACCAUUUCGUUUUCAGAAAACACUUUCGGUUUAGAUGAUAAACCUCUAAACCCAGGAUGAAGAAAAUGAGAGGGAUGUCAGGGGCUCUCAUAGUGGGGAUCACCGUGGGUGUGAUGAUUGGAGGGGUUUUGGGCGUAUGCGCUGUGUGUAUGUUGAUCAGGUACAGAAGCAAGUGUUCCCCAAAUUUGAGUCGGAGGGCCGCCACCGUCCCCAUCCGCGUAAAUGAUGUUGAUUCUUCUGCAAACUUAUCGGAAUUCUCUGUUGGCCGCUACUCCGACUCAUCACUGGGCCAGGUCUCAGCCAGAACGUCUGAAGGGAAUGCCAUGUCUGCGUGGGUGGACAUGGAGGGUCAUAAGAGGAAGAAUGCGGCCUCAGCUUUUGGAAUACCCAACUACUCUUACAGAGAGCUAGAGAAAGCCACUUGUAGCUUUACAACUCUGAUAGGGCAAGGGGCAUUUGGUCCUGUUUACAAAGCUCAGUUGUCAAAUGGUGAGACUGUGGCUGUUAAAGUUCUUGCCACUGACUCUAAGCAAGGGAAAAGGGAGUUCCAGGCAGAGAUUCUGUUACUAGGAAGAUUACACCAUAGAAAUCUUGUGAACUUAGUGGGAUACUGCACAGAUAAAGGACACCUUAUGCUUGUGUAUGUCUACAUGAGUAAUGGCAGUCUGGCUUCUCAUUUAUAUGGUCAAAAGCAUGAGCCACUAAGCUGGGAUUCAAGAGUUUCCAUAGCUCUCGAUGUUGCAAGGGGAAUGGAAUAUCUACAUUAUGGGGCAGCUCCUUCCAUACUCCACCGCGACAUCAAAUCUUCCAACAUACUGCUGGACCAAUCCAUGAGAGCCAGAGUGGCAGACUUUGGGCUUUCAAGAGAACAGAUUUUUAAAUCACAUGCAUCUAAUGUCAAGGGGACUUUUGGGUAUCUUGAUCCUGAAUAUCUGUCAACAAAAACCUUCACUAAGAAAAGUGAUGUUUAUAGUUUUGGCGUGCUGCUCUUUGAACUAAUUGCAGGCAGGAAUCCCCUACAGGGUCUCAUGGAACAUGUAGAACUUGCAACAAUAGGUACAGAAGAUGAAGUUGGGUGGGAGGAGAUUGUGGAUUCCAGUCUCAAUGGAAAAUUUGAUGUGGAAGAACUUAAUGAUAUUGCUUCUCUUGCUUACCAAUGUAUCAAUCAUCUCUCAAAAAAAAGACCUUCUAUGAGGGACAUUGUUCUAGCUCUAUCUAGGAUUCUCAAGCUGAACCACAGCAGGAAGCGUCACAAGGAGUCCAUGUCUGCUACAGAAGAGGAAAUCACCAUCGAAUUGCAGAAGUCAGAGACACGGGAUCCCACAGUAAUGGAAUUUCAAAAAAAGGUGGCUACUGACAUCACAACCCAAUCCGUUGAAAUAUGAUAAUGAUUUUACAAUCUUUCUUUUUUUUUCAUUUGGUUUAUUCCUUCUUCUGUUUCUUCUGUUUUGGUUCGUAUAGCAUAGUCACCAGGAGGCUACAAAGGGAAGCUUGUCUUCCCUGUUUUAAAAAAAAAAAUAACAAUUGUUUUUAUGUCUGAAUAUUUUUGUGACAAGGUCUCAUUUUUGUAUUGCUUCUCAUGUCUGCCAAGGAGAAUGAAACUGCCUUUCCCCUACUGUCAUCUCAGAUUUGUUUCAAUUUCCCAUGUGAAUGACCCCAUGUUGUAAAAGACGUUGUUGGAGUUUGUUCUCAUUCUGCUCAACAAACAUUCAAGUUAGUCAUUAGAGAGUUGAACUUUAUUUUAAAUGCAGCAAUUAGUAAAGCCUUUUGUGUGUUGUUCUUGUAACCUAAGCCAACCCCCAUAUCUUCCAAACACCCAUCUAUUGUGCUUAAAGAAACCCCAAUAGUAUUGCAGUUAGCUUUGUUUGGUAUCUGCUUUUCAUUGUCCAGGCUGUGAAAUGGGGCAAGGGUGCUGGUCAACGUAAAAUGGUGAUUUAAAGAGGUCAAGUUCCUGCAGAUUAGAGGAUGCGUGAUAGAGUUGGUUUUAAAUAAGAUUUAUGACUACAUGUCUAAUUGGGGAAAUAUACCGUGCACAAUAGAAACUGAAUGUCUCCUGUGCUGCAUAAAAUAGAUCAGGACCUCCAACUGGAAGUCCUAGCCUUUAUGCUGAGAGCAUCUGAUGAUGAUCUGGCUUCCAGUCGUACAUACCUACCACUCUGGCUAUACUUGUGGAUAAGAAUCAUAUCAGGAUUAGAUUUCAUGGCUCUCCUUAUAUUCCAACCCAGCUUCAGAUUUCAGAUGCAUAAAGCAACUGUCCCACAGGCCUGGGAGCUUGGCUCAUCCCUUCUCUCCUUCGCCAUCCUCAAUUUUAGCAUUUUUUUUUUCUUGUGUUUUUCCCUCCCCACCAACGCAUUGGAGGGAAGUGAUCAUAUUCCAGCUAUGCCCUGUAAAAGCAAUGUUAUGGAAUCUGGUUGGGCUUUCCAUUUGUGCAGGUGUGUCACUUGACAGUGCCAUAGCCUCAUUUUGCAAUGCCUUACAAGCUGAAAGAAAAUUGUGUUCAUUGCAAGUAGGAUGCAACCAGGCAUCCAUAGUGGAAACGAAUGCUGAACAAAUCCAUUCAGUGACAUCUUUCUCUUCUAUUACAGAAGUGCGAACCAUCAAGAGGACGACACGAACAUUACGGAAAGAAACAGUCAAAAGUCAGUGGCUGUAAAUCAUUCAGUUAUUUGAGUUGGCGAUUGUAGAUCGGUUAGCCAUUCUUUUCUGUAACUUAUCCUUGUUCAUGACCGAUUUUUCUUAAUUUACGCUAAAUUGAAAGGUUUUUGUAUCUUGGCCGAGAAGGCAAGAUCUAUGAUUUGAUCUUAACUGAGAAGGCAAGAUUAAAAUAUGUAAGUUGCUAUUACUUGGCAUUGCCAGGCCUGACCGUUAUUAUUUUAAUUGCUUUUGAUUUCUCA